GUGCCAGCCGCCGCGGUAAUACAGAGGGUGCGAGCGUUGUUCGGAAUUAUUGGGCGUAAAGCGCGAGUAGGCGGCUUGUUAAGUCGCGUGUGAAAGCUCCCGGCUCAACCGGGAAAGUGCGCGCGAAACUGGCGAGCUUGAGUGCCGGAGAGGGUGGCGGAAUUCCCGGUGUAGAGGUGAAAUUCGUAGAUAUCGGGAGGAACACCAGAGGCGAAGGCGGCCACCUGGAAGGACACUGACGCUGAGAAGCGAAAGCGUGGGGAGCAAACAGGAUUAGAAACCCUCGUAGUCC
rnacentral:rRNA from 1 species